GCCAGAGACUUGAGGGAAGCUCUGCUCUACUGUGGGCUCAGAAGGUAGGACCCACGGAUGACCUCCACCAUGGCCUGGUGCCCUCUCCUCUUCAGCCUCCUGGCUCACUGCACAGGUUCCUGGGCGCAGGCCGUGCUGACUCAGCCUCCCUCAGUGUCUGGGUCUCCAGGAGGAUCAGUCACCAUCUCCUGCGCUGGAAGCAGCACCAAUAUUGGGGAUGGCUACUCUGUCCAGUGGUACCAGCAGCUCUCCGGAACUGCUCCUAAACUCAUCAUCUAUAGCAAUAGCAACCGACCCUCCGGGGUCUCUGGUCGGUUCUCUGGCUCCAAAUCUGGCAGCUCAGCCUCCCUGACCAUCAGUGGGCUCCAAUCUGAGGACGAGGCUGAUUAUUACUGCCAGUCUUAUGAUAGCAGCCUCAGUGCUCGCACAGUGCUCCAGCCUCAUGGGGAAGCUAAGACAAAAACUUCCUCUUCUGCCAGAAGGGUGCUUACCCAUGUCUCAGUUACUCUUCUCUCAUUGCUGGGACAAAUACCCAUCACUGAAAGUGAGAGAAGGAAGCGUUUCUUUAGCUAUCAAGAAUGA